UACGGGGGAGCAAGCGUUGUUCGGAUUUACUGGGCGUAAAGGGCGCGUAGGCGGCCACCGCAAGUCGGUUGUGAAAUCUCCGGGCUUAACCCGGAAAGGUCAAUCGAUACUGCGGGGCUAGAGUGCAGAAGGGGCAACUGGAAUUCUCGGUGUAGCGGUGAAAUGCGUAGAUAUCGAGAGGAACACCUGCGGCGAAGGCGGGUUGCUGGGCUGACACUGACGCUGAAGCGCGAAAGCUAGGGGAGCGAACGGG
rnacentral:rRNA from 1 species